rnacentral:rRNA from 1 species
GUAGGAUUGACAGAUUGAGAGUUCUUUCUUGAUUGGUCUAGUGGUGGUGCAUGGCCGUUCUUAGUUGGUGGAGUGAUUUGUCUGGUUAAUUCCGUUAACGAACGAGACCUUAACCUGCUAAAUAGUACAAGUAUUCCAAAUGCUUGUUACUUCUUAGAGGGACUAUGUGUUGUAAACACAUGGAAGUUUGAGGCAAUAACAGGUCUGUGAUGCCCUUAGAUGUCCUGAGCCGCACGCGUGCUACAAUGACAUAUUCAACGAGUAUUUCCUGAUCCGAAAGGAUUUGGGUAAUCUUUUUAGUGUAUGUCGUGUUAGGGAUAGAUCUUUGUAAUUAUGGAUCUUGAACGAGGAAUUCCUAGUAAGCGCAUGUCAUCAGCAUGUGCUGAUUACGUCCCUGCAAAAUGUACACACCGCCCGUCGCUAUUGCCGAUUGAGUGCUCAGGUGAACCUUCUUGAUUGUUGCAAAAUGAAAAAUUAAGUAAACCUUAGCACUUAGAGGGAAUAAAAGUCGUAACAAGGUUUCCGUAGGUGAACCUGCGGA